UGAAUGUCUAGUUAGAAAACGUACUUCCUGCAAGUUUGUUUAAUCUACAUUUUACUGGCCUUGAUUGGAGCGUUUUAUACCGCUCUGUGUUAACGCCGACGUGGCAUCUUUAAAUAAAGCAGUAACUUUACGUCAAAUUCUCAAUUGAGUUAUAAAAUUAGUACAAAGGAAAUGAAAUUCAAAACGAACUAAAUGAUUAUUAAUACUUAUGUACAUCCAUUUAUACAAGCAAAAAACAUGCCGCCGCGAUAUUUCGGUUACGCCAUACAAAAUCAAUGGGAAUGAGAAUUUUAUGGCAGUCAUUUGCCGCUGCUGCUUUUAUUUAGAGAAGGGAGUUACUGAUUUUGGAACUUUUACAAGGCUAUACAUCAUGCCUUUAAAUUUUUGGCAUUUAGAAAAAUAAGCAAAUAUUUUAUUCAAUCAAAUAACAAAUCAGUUCAUCUACGCCGACCUCCAACAAAUACAUAUUAACUACUCUACUAAAUUAAGGCAUUCUGGAACAUUCUUUUGGAAUCUUAACAGAAAAUUUCAUCUAGGUAUUCUAUUAGAAAAACUCCGUGUGGAAGUUUCUGAGAAACAGAGUAAUGACUUAUUGGAUCCCGCAUUCGACGGUCUUGAGCAUUUGGAGGAAUACAUAUGUAUGUAAAGAGUUAAAACUGAAGUGGUUGAGUUUGCGAAAGUCCAAUAUGAAAAAAUGUUUAAAAAUAUAAUUGGGAAAAUUUUUAAUAUCAAAAAAUUACAUUCAAAAACGUUUAGAAGGAUUACCUAGAAUGUAGUGACAAAAUUUAGCGAUGUUUGUUUUAAAUCUCGAACGUAUUUUCAAAUAUUCAAAUAAGACCUCGGACUAUCGGAUAAUUGAACAAAAACGCAAAAAUAAAAACAUAGUAACAAUAUAUAAC
rnacentral:lncRNA from 1 species